AGUGAACGCUGGCGGUAUGCCUAACACAUGCAAGUCGAACGGCAGCACAGUAAGAGCUUGCUCUUACGGGUGGCGAGUGGCGGACGGGUGAGGAAUACAUCGGAAUCUACUUUUUCGUGGGGGAUAACGUAGGGAAACUUACGCUAAUACCGCAUACGACCUACGUGUGAAAGCAGGGGAUCUUCGGACCUUGCGCGAUUGAAUGAGCCGAUGUCGGAUUAGCUAGUUGGCGGGGUAAAGGCCCACCAAGGCGACGAUCCGUAGCUGGUCUGAGAGGAUGUUCAGCCACACUGGAACUGAGACACGGUCCAGACUCCUACGGGAGGCAGCAGUGGGGAAUAUUGGACAAUGGGCGCAAGCCUGAUCCAGCCAUCCCGCGUGGGUGAAGAAGGCCUUCGGGUUGUAAAGCCCUUUUGUUGGGAAAGAAAAGCAGCAGGUUAAUACCCCGAUGUUCUGACGGUACCAAAAGAAUAAGCACCGGCUAACUUCGUG
rnacentral:rRNA from 1 species